AUACUUACCUGGUAGGGAGAUACCAUGAUCACGAAGGUGGUUUUCCAGGGCGAGGCUUUAUCCAUUGCACCUGGAUGUAAAGCGACCUCUUGGCAGAUUUCUAAACCGUGGAAAACCCCUGACUGCAUAAUUUGUGGUAGUGGGGACUGCGUCUGGCGCUUUCCCCU
rnacentral:snRNA from 1 species